AAUGCUGACAUAAGUAACGAUAAAGCGGGUGAAAAGCCCGCUCGCCGGAAGACCAAGGGUUCCUGUCCAACGUUAAUCGGGGCAGGGUGAGUCGACCCCUAAGGCGAGGCCGAAAGGCGUAGUCGAUGGGAAACAGGUUAAUAUUCCUGUACUUGGUGUUACUGCGAAGGGGGGACGGAGAAGGCUAUGUUGGCCGGGCGACGGUUGUCCCGGUUUAAGCGUGUAGGCUGGUUUUCCAGGCAAAUCCGGAAAAUCAAGGCUGAGGCGUGAUGACGAGGCACUACGGUGCUGAAGCAACAAAUGCCCUGCUUCCAGGAAAAGCCUCUAAGCAUCAGGUAACAUCAAAUCGUACCCCAAACCGACACAGGUGGUCAGGUAGAGAAUACCAAGGCGCUUGAGAGAACUCGGGUGAAGGAACUAGGCAAAAUGGUGCCGUAACUUCGGGAGAAGGCACGCUGAUAUGUAGGUGAAGUCCCUCGCGGAUGGAGCUGAAAUCAGUCGAAGAUACCAGCUGGCUGCAACUGUUUAUUAAAAACACAGCACUGUGCAAACACGAAAGUGGACGUAUACGGUGUGACGCCUGCCCGGUGCCGGAAGGUUAAUUGAUGGGGUUAGCGCAAGCGAAGCUCUUGAUCGAAGCCCCGGUAAACGGCGGCCGUAACUAUAACGGUCCUAAGGUAGCGAAAUUCCUUGUCGGGUAAGUUCCGACCUGCACGAAUGGCGUAAUGAUGGCCAGGCUGUCUCCACCCGAGACUCAGUGAAAUUGAACUCGCUGUGAAGAUGCAGUGUACCCGCGGCAAGACGGAAAGACCCCGUGAACCUUUACUAUAGCUUGACACUGAACAUUGAGCCUUGAUGUGUAGGAUAGGUGGGAGGCUUAGAAGUGUGGACGCCAGUCUGCAUGGAGCCGACCUUGAAAUACCACCCUUUAAUGUUUGAUGUUCUAACGUUGACCCGUAAUCCGGGUUGCGGACAGUGUCUGGUGGGUAGUUUGACUGGGGCGGUCUCCUCCUAAAGAGUAACGGAGGAGCACGAAGGUUGGCUAAUCCUGGUCGGACAUCAGGAGGUUAGUGCAAUGGCAUAAGCCAGCUUGACUGCGAGCGUGACGGCGCGAGCAGGUGCGAAAGCAGGUCAUAGUGAUCCGGUGGUUCUGAAUGGAAGGGCCAUCGCUCAACGGAUAAAAGGUACUCCGGGGAUAACAGGCUGAUACCGCCCAAGAGUUCAUAUCGACGGCGGUGUUUGGCACCUCGAUGUCGGCUCAUCACAUCCUGGGGCUGAAGUAGGUCCCAAGGGUAUGGCUGUUCGCCAUUUAAAGUGGUACGCGAGCUGGGUUUAGAACGUCGUGAGACAGUUCGGUCCCUAUCUGCCGUGGGCGCUGGAGAACUGAGGGGGGCUGCUCCUAGUACGAGAGGACCGGAGUGGACGCAUCACUGGUGUUCGGGUUGUCAUGCCAAUGGCACUGCCCGGUAGCUAAAUGCGGAAGAGAUAAGUGCUGAAAGCAUCUAAGCACGAAACUUGCCCCGAGAUGAGUUCUCCCUGACUCCUUGAGAGUCCUGAAGGAACGUUGAAGACGACGACGUUGAUAGGCCGGGUGUGUAAGCGCAGCGAUGCGUUGAGCUAACCGGUACUAAUGAACCGUGAGGCUUAACCUU
rnacentral:rRNA from 1 species